rnacentral:lncRNA from 1 species
AAAGGAUAGCCAUCAACUCCAUACUCCCGAACAAUCUCCACCCCACUGGCAUUCCUAACUCUCCCUUCUUCACAAAGGAACACAAGAUGCGGUAUCCCUCUCACCUUGAACUGCUCAUCCAGACUUUCCCGUGCCUCAGAAUCCGAAAACGGAAUAGCAAGCCACGGCAUCUUGGAGAAGUACCCAUUGAACGACUCCUCAUCCUCAUCAGCUGAAACAAAUAUCACCUCGAAAUCGCCCUUUGAAGCAAGCGCAUUGUAGGUCUCCACCAAAUCCGGGGUGAAACGUUGGCAUGGACCGCACCAUGAUGCAGAAAAAUACAACCCCAGCUUCUUCCCCUUCAAGGUCUCAACCUUAACCUGCAAAUCCAAAAUUUCCCAAAUGAUUCCUAACUCAAAACAAAAUCAUCCCCAUAAUUCCCACAGAAUUCUAAAAACACAGUCCCCAAUUUCUACAUCACAGUAAUAAAAUCUACCUAAAUUUCAGUGAACAUUUUCUAAUCAAAGUUUUGUAAUUAAGCAAAAUUUAAACCAAUAUACAGUGAAAUUUCUACUCAAAUCAACAUAAAUGUGGCCUUAAUAUAACUACAGAAACACAAAUACACACACACACACACCCAAACACUAAACCUUUCCAUCAGCUUAAUCACAAACCCGAUCAGCAAAACUACUUCAAGAAACCAAUUGCGCUAAUCAAAACGACUAUCCAGACCUCGCCGGAGACCUAGAAUUUUCCGGUAAGGUAAAGAUAAGACAAUCAGGUGAAAAGAGACGAGAGAUUGACCUGAUCACCAUUGUUGCGGACGAGAUAGUCCCUCGCCGGAGAAGAAAGAAGUGACUGAAAGUCGAGCGGCGGGCUGGUGUUGAUGAGCUCAGCAGCUACAGCACCGGAAUCUGCACCGUCCGCCAUUUCUGUUUUCUUGGGAGCUCGGAGCUUGUGAUUUUGUGAAUUGCUGAAGGUGGGAGAGUGACCUUGGGGUCUAUUCUAUUUAUGGACACUGUCAAUAUCUACAAAUACGACGACGUUUCUUCUGUUUGAAGGCCUAGAACUUUCUUGUGUGUAGACAAAGAAAAAGAGUAGCAUUUCUUUCUUUUCUUAUCCACGAAGGAGCAUUGGUUGCAUGAGUCACCACGAAGUAGUAUUAAGUAAAACUUUAUUGAUAAGGAGGUAAGAUAUAUGUUUGUUCUGAUUCCUUCACGUGUUAGUAAAAGCAAGAAUAAUUUUAUCCGAAAUCAUUAUGAUCCUUUAAUAGGUUAGUAAACGCAUGAAUUUGAUUUGCAAUCCUUCCAUUCCAUUCUAAAUAAGUAAAAACAUCAUUUUAGUUGUUUUAAUUUCAUAUAUCCUUUUAUUAUAAUUAUUCACACACUCUAUUAUGAUACGAGACAUUUAUGGUCUAGCGCGUUGAUUUGACCACUUGAUAAUAUAAAUAGGAUACCCAAUCAAUGAUUCCAAUUCUCUAAUUUGGUGCAAGUGUGAACAUUGAAAUGAUUGAAUAGUAGUGGCCCUCACACUAAAUUGCCAUUAUACCAUGUCAAAUGUGACCUAUAUGUAAAUUGGAAUAUCUUCCACACUUCCAACCACUCCACUUGACUUUUGCACAUGCGAAAUUGACUAAGAUUGGGCCAUCUGAUCCUCUUUUUUUGACAAGCCUACAAGCCCAAGUUUCAUUUAGUUGAAACUAAGGUCAUAUGCCUUAAGCCCAUCAGGCCCAAAAAUCCCAAAAUGCCGCUCAUACUCCUCCCCGCCUUUUUCAUUCUCAUCAAACAAAUCAAACAAGUAAACCUCCACUCCCGCCCCCGCCUUCUUCGGCGUCCCGACCCCCUCCACCGACCUUCUCACCACCUCUCUAUUAUACGCCAGCGCGUUCUCCACACUCGCUGCUUCUCCACCGCUCGUCGGUCACCCGGUCUCCGAAACCACCACCUCAACAUCCCCAAACCCCUCCCUCUCCAACGCGCUCACAAACGCGUCCACACUCGCGUCAAACAGAUUUUCGUACACCAACGCGCCGUCGUGGACGUAAUUCGGAUCCCGAAACAAAGCGUAGUCUACGGAGACGUAGGGGCGGUUGUUCAAGUAGCUAAAAUAGGGAUACAAAUUCACCAUGAAGGGAGAUGCCGUGUCGUGCAAGAAACGAAAAAGUGGAAGUAGAAAUGAUUUGAGGUCCGGAUCAAACGAGGCCGAGGAAGGAGGGUAGGAGAUUGAAAGCACGGUGGCGGCUUGCGGCGACGAGAGUUUGAUUGUAUCGGCGAGAUUUAGGGUUUGAAGGGCUUGGUGGAGGCUGAGGAUGGCGGGAACCACGUGGGGAGUGUAGCAGGGAUCUUUGAGGAAGACCUCGUUGCCUACGGCGAUGUAGCGGACUUGGUUAGGCGGAACAAUGGCAAAGAUGUAGGAUUGGAGCCACUCGGUGGCGGCGGAGGCGGUGGUGAGUGUGGGGAGGAUUUCGUUAGGGACGCCGAUCAUGACGGUUAUACCGGUGUUGGAGAAGGAGCUGAGAGUGGCGGGGUCGGUAUUGAAGAGACGGACGUUUGUUAUGUUGUUGGAUUUGAGGAUGCCGACUGCGGCAGUGGGCGGAGGGAGGUUGUUGGCUACUCGGCCGUAGCAGAUUCCUAUUGGCCGCGGCGUUGCGGAUGAGAUUGGGAGAAGAUUAAGGAAGAAGAGUGAGAGAUGAGAGAGGAGGAUGUAAUGAUGGUCAUGAUGAUCAAAAUUCUUUAGCAUUUUAUUACUGUGCAUUGAACACAAGUUCGAAGAUGAUCGAGAAGGUAGUAAGAUAAUGAAUAUGUACUCGUUUUGAUCUUGGGUUGGUUUGAAGUAGAUUAUGUUUCUCUCAAGCUUUAGACUCUCGUACUGCAGCUGGUCAAACUUGAAAAAUAAUUAGGUGUGAAAUUAGCUAGAUCCUUGUAGGUAAGAAUUAAGUAAACACAUAAUAUAGAUGUAUGUGUAUACACAACUCAAAACGAAUGUCCGGCCUUUAAUCACAAUUGAUGAUUUACGAGCUAUAAUUAACUGAAGAAACUAGAUUUACAAGGAAAUAACGUAAACGAAGUCUUGAAAAAAAAAAAAAAAACGUAACGAAAUUUAGCAUAACAUUAAGAUCCAUAUGUAUGCAUAGGGAUUUGAAGAAUCAGCCAGCUCUCUUUCUCUCUUUGUUGCCUUUUUUAUAGUUUAAUUUAUUUUAAGAACAUAAAUUGAAUUUCUUACUAGAUUUCCUUGUCUCACUAGUUUUGUAUAGCUAGGUUUCCUUACAACGUACAAAUUAAUUUCACAAAGUGUUACGGUACUAGAUACGCGGAGGACUCGUCGUUGUUUUGCUUUUCCUUAUUGGAUUAUGGAUCCACAAUUACCUAUUAGGAUUUGGUUUGGUAGUUUAGUUGUCUAUAUAUAAAAACGCCCCUUUAGACUAGUAUUUCUCUAAUAACCAUAGAUCAAAGAGAAAAGACCCACCCUAGAUAGCUGCACGAGAGCAUGAACAUGGAAAAAACUGAUGAAGAUCCCAACCUGCCGAGCAAAAUCAUAUGGGUUGAAAUACUCCCAAGGCUACCGCGAAAGAAACUGAUGCAGUUUCGGUGUGUUAGCAAAUCAUGGAAAGCUCUCCUCUCUGCUAACCCUGGAUUUUGGAGGAUCCAUCGAAACUUCCACCCCCACAACACCGGUUAUCUCCUUUUUAAAGCUCACAGCGGCUCCGCCUUCGGCUCUGGCUCCGAUGUUACCCGAAAGCACUACCUUCUCCUCGUCAAAGCCGGCCAAGACAGAAAUACUCCAUCAUAUGUCACUGACCUUAUGCCACUGCCCUUUCAAAUCAUCAAAACGCCAUAUGCUAACAGCUUGGUAUUAGGGCGCAGUGGUUGGAUUAAUGAUCCCAUUUAUAUAUAUAACCCCUUCGCCCAAGAUUCUGUUAUUGUUCCCAAUCCUACUUUCGAAUAUGAACAGUUGUCUAUCGGCUUCAGUCCUAGAACAAACGAGUAUAAGGUUGUGGCAACCUUGCGUGUUCCAGGUUACGUAGCAACCUUGCGUGUUGAAGGUUUAGUAGGAUUUAAGAUUUUCACACUAGGUCAAUGUUCAUGGAGAGACAUGGUGGUAGACUGGUAUGACCUGUCAUUUGUUCAUCCUCCGUCUUCGGACUUCUGGAACAGUACUGUAUGUGUCCAUGGAGUUCUACACUGGUUAGCUCCUAGUGAUGAAGUUAUAUUUGCUCUUGACAUUGGAGAUGAGAGGUUUAGAAUCAUACCAGUACCUUCUCACAUUCGAAGUUCCAAAAAGAUUAUCGAAGUGGAUGGAUGUCUUUGUAUAGUAUGUGAGACUGGGAAGGUGUGGAUUUUGAAGGACUACAUACAUCAAGUGUGGGUUGCGGAGACCAUCGAAUUUCCCCGUCGAAUUUUCCGCUUGCCUCAGUGUGCCAGCGACACCGGUGAGCUUGUAUUUGGCGUUUCUAAAGACAAUUAUCUCCAAUUAUAUGACAGGAAAAGUAAAAGCUCUCGGCAGAGUGAAAUCAUUUUUCCCAAAAUGUUUAGUGAUCUAGGAUUGAGACUGGAUUAUUCUGAUGAUCGCUGUGACGAUUGUAUUGUUCCCUUACAGUGAAAACCAAUUAAUCCAUCGAGAAUUUACGGAUAUUAUAUCAUGUGAAAAGAAAGUGGUGGAUGUAUACCUGAAUUCGGCAGUAUGUCGCCCCUGCUCGUCUGCGGAUUUCGCUUGUGCUUGCUUCGGUUCUGGCUCGUGCAUAUAUAGUCGCCGUUGACGGGGCGGUGGGAUUCAGGCGUGAAUGUGAAGCUUGACAGGAUAAGAAGCAGAGGAUUAUUAGGGGUUUUAUUAGCUAGAUCGUGUCUUGUAUGUGUUUAAUUUUAAGAGUCUGUUCUGUGUUUUUUCAUGCUAGCUAUAAGACUAGUCUGAUGUUGUGUUGAUUUUGGGUGUGUAGUGAGUGGAAAACUGGAAAUGGUAUGAAGUUAGAGCUAUGUAUGAAAAUCUGUCAACCUUCAGUACGUGUUUAAUUUCAGUGUUGAUCUUGUGUUCUUUUACUACGUACUAACCCUUGCACAUCCAAGAAAUGGAAUGACUUCUAUAGUUGCUAUAUUGUUCAUAUCCAGUUCUUGAUUCCCAGAAUAUAUCACAGGCAUCUUAUUAACUGUGGUUUACCAUGAAGUCCCCAAUCUAUAUAUAACACUGAAAUUAAUCUCAAUCAUGCAUGUUUAAGUUAGCAAUUCGGUUCGUAAUUCGGGAUCGAUGAUAACAUACAUAUAUAUUCCAGUAAUCUUGUAUACAAAUUCCAAAUAUCUCAUGGAUGGAUGAUAACAAACAUAUAUUCCAGUAGUUUAGUUGAUAUGACUCAUAUAUAUGAGAAGUUCUCUCCUUGAAUAUAUAAGAUCAAUUAGCAUCACCUGCUUGAAACUGUAAUACAUACUUAGAAACGUGUUUGACUAAGUUUUAAAUAAUGUUGUAAACUAGUAAUCACAUUAAUUCAAGCUUGAUCUAUCAAUGCCUGUGGCAGAUUCAAAAUAAGAGAAAGGCAGGGACCUAAGAAGCAAUAGUACAGUUGUUGUUCUGGGUUGUGGAGGAGGAUGUGGUUACAGUUGUUUCCACUACUAUCUCUGCCAGUAAAUAAUGACAAUACAAGAAGAGGGUCUCGAAAAUCAGCUGCAUUAUUCAAAUUUGCCCCUUUUCCAUUUCAAUGUUAACCUGUUUUAUAUAGCUUUGGCUUUCACGCAGCUAGCUGCUGCAUGCCUUCCUAUUUUGGGCUACUGUAAAUCUGUAAUAUUUUUGGGUAUAUACAGAAAACUCAGACAGUAAGGGAAGGGGUUAGGGGUCACAUGCUUGCAGCGGAAAUAUAAACGUUGGAAUCCACCAACGGCGACUUGAAUCCACAAGUCUAGUUUUCUCGAAUCCACGAGAGAAUCUGGAAUCCACCAGAGAAUUGAGAUAAACUCAAAGGUUUUUAUUAAUCAAAAGCUGACGAUUAUAACCGAUAGAGGCUCUUUAUAUAGGAGCAAAUAAACCGUAGGGCAACUAACAUCAAAGCCUAAAAGCUCAUGGAUUAAAAGAAAACCAAAUCCAAAACAAACUAUUAAAAAUAAUUGCUAAAAACAAGUAAAUCUGCAUUUUGAAGGCUUAAACGGACUCGAAAGGCCGAAAAAGCUCAUACGUCGUGGCAAAGCGACGAGUUUGUCUCGUUGGCCCGUUCCGCUUCCAGAAAGGUAUCAUAAUGGGUAAUCGGACACUGAACGCCAAAUCUGGAGCAAACCGGGUUUGGACUUGUUUCGAUCGAUCUGUUCUUCAAUCUCUAACGCCAUCUGUUCUAUAUCACAUACAAUUUCAAGUGACAAGGAGUGGGGCGUCUAGUUUCUAUUAACCCUAGCCAGCUGGUUUGUCCGGUAUAAAUAGGACCACCCAUAUCACUAUUGCUGAGAAACCCUAAACCUGCCUCCUUUAAAAUCAAAGUUUUGCUCUCUCAUCUCUCUCUCACUCUGUAACCAUGACCAGAUUCUUUUCAAGUGCUCUCAUCUCUCUUUCAUCUCUCUAUGUAACCAUGACCAAGUUCUUUUCGAGUCCUCUGAUUAUGAUACUUCUCUUCAUCAUCUCGUUUUGGUCCGUCACUCAUCCUUUUCAGAUCUAUCUCCCAUCCAUCGACUGCCCCCGCUGCUCACUCUUGGACAGUCUGAUGUUGCUCUCCCUUGACGGCUUCUUCUCCGCCACCGCCGUAACCCAUACUUUUCGCCUGAGAGGCCACAUGGAUGAGAGCUUAUUCUACGAUUUCGUCUCUCUUUGUUCCACCGUCUACGUGCUCGUCGCCCUUUUCACUAUGUCACCCCUCCUCGUCUACGGUCGCUUGCUCAUAGUCGCCUUCGGGGUGGUGAGAUUCAGCUGUGAUUGUGAUGCUUGAGAGGAUAAGAAGCAGAGGCUUAGGGGUUUUCUUAACUAGCUAGCUAGGUUGGUCAUUUUAACUUUUUAAGAGUGGCCGGAUCUGAUGGUUAUUCAUGCUAUUAGACUAGUCUGACGUUGAGUUGAUUUUGGGUGUAUGAGUUAGUGGAAAUGAAAGUUAAUUUGGAACUAUUGGUAGCUAAUUAAUGGAUGAAGUUAGGCUGCUGAAGAGCUAUGAAAAUCUUUCAACUUUCAGUGUGUAAUACUCUUUUGUUCUUACUUCUAAUCCAUGAAACGGAAUGACUUUUACAGUUGCUAUUGUUUAUAUCAAGUUCUUGGUUCCCAGAAUAUAUAUAACACUGAAAUCUCAUCUUUUUAAUCACAAUAUUCAAGCUUGAUGGAUCUAUAUUACAAUAUAUAUAGGCCUGUUGCAAAUUCAAAAUAACAGAAACGCAGGGACCUGAAUAAGCAAGAAUAGUACAGUAGUUCUUUUGGGUUGUGGAGGAUGAUGUGGUUACAGAUGUAAAUGACAAUUGCAUUCAAAUUUGCUUUUUCCAUUUCAAUGUUAACCUUGCUGUUUUAACUUUGGUUUUCCUAGGCUAUUGUCUUCCUAUUUUGGGCUCUACUGUAAUAAUUUUGGGUACAGUGGUAAACUCAGUCAAACUAUCAGCUGGGAAGAGGUCACAUGCAAUUUCAAGAUAGACAAGGAGAUUUUGUGUUGGAAAGUAGUGGAGGACCAACACCAAUGAAUUAUGAAUAAGUCAGGGAUAGCAGAUUAGAAUGCAGGAAAAAGCAAUUUUGAAUGCAGCUGAUUUUCAGCAAAAGACCAAAUAUAUAUAGCCUUGCAAGCUAAGGAAAGGAUUGUGGUAUAAGAGGGAAAAAUAUUUACCAUUUUGAUUGCAAGUAAUAUUGGGGACAACUGCAGAAGAAGGAUAGAGGCCAAAAUGGAAUAAGCAUUUGUUUGUAAUUGAAAAUUUUGCACCUAGCUAGCUUACUUCUUGUACUGAUCAAAAUUUCACAACCUGCUAUUACUUUCCUUGGAGAAGUCUGUCAUUUCACAUGAUAAGUAUGUUGAUGGCUAGAUGAAGAACUUGGGCAUCAGAGACUUGUCCAUGAGGACAGUAUAAGUGGAUCACUCUGCCAAAAAAAGUGUUGAAAUGGAGAGCCAACAAAGGCUGGAGAACAGUAGAGAAUGCAAGGAAGAGAAACACCAUAUUGGAUUCACAACUUCAUGUAGCUAUCGAUAAUUGUACUCUUAAUUUGAAGACAGAUCAAGGUUUGUAUUUAGGUUAGUACAAGCUUAUCAUCAACACCAGAAGUAAUACUAAUACAGUAAUACUAUUAUGAGCAUUAUCAAAGAGUUCAAUGAUAAAGAGACACUAAACUAUCAAGAGCAUUUAAUUGUGAAAAAACAUGAACAAGUGAUCGAGGUGCUUGCGAAUUCCGAAUUCGCAAUUAUGUUCAUCAACAUCAUUGUCAUCGAUCAUCACCUCAACGAUAGGCCAAAUUACCCUUUACUAAAAUGAUCUUUUCAAAAAAAUUGAUAACUCGACGUAUCCAGAUAUAUAUAGGAGCGAAAAAGAUAGAAGAAAUUUGUUUUGAAGUCACCGGCCGCAUAUGUUAAUUCUUGAUUUGAUCUAUAUAUAUAUAUAUACACACACACAUGAGAUCAGUCUCCACAGAGCUUUUUGGUGCCCAUAAUCACAAUCUCCACUUCAAUUCAUAAGGUUCUAAACUAUAGAUCUUCAUGUAUGAGACAUCUCAUCCUUACUACUAAAACGUCCCCGUAAUUAGGCGAGUUUAGUACGUAGUUAAUUAGUGAAGUCCCCAAGCAUACCAAGACUGCCUAAUUUGUUUCCCCUCUUAAUUAUGACGAUAUCUAAUUAAGACAAUUUUUGUAAAUGAGAAGCGGCUCAAAAACGGUAUAAUGAAUUAGAUGUAGGUAGGUAGGAUGAUCGGGGACACGUGUCAACUUAUUAGUGGGGUGUCUAGUUUCUAUUAACCCUAGCUAGCUGGUUUCUCCGGUAUAAAUAGAACGCCUGUAUCACAUUAUUGCUGAGAAACCCUAAAGCUGCCUCCUCCCUUGAAUCAAAGUUUGCUCUCUCAUCUCAUCUCUCUCUCUCUCUCUCUCUCUCACAGAUCCGAAACAAACCAUGACUCGGUUCUUUUCUCAUCCACUCACUAAGUGCUUCUGUUCGGCAUCAUGUUUUGGUGCACGAACAAUUUUUCUGUGAUCUUUUUUUUAUUCAAGAACUACGUCUACCCAUCGGACAGUCAUCUCUUGAUGCUUGCAGUCGACAACUUCUUUGCAUUCCCCGCAGCAUCCUAUACUUUUGCUCUGAGAGGUCACAUGGAUGCGAGGUUCUUCACGGCGUUCGUCACGGUUGUCUCCACAGGCUACGUGUUCGCCGCCGUUCUCAGUAUUAUGCCGCUCCUCGUCGUCUGCAGCCGCUUGAUUUGGCUUGUGGCAGCCUCGUGUGUUGCUGGAUUUGGGGGGUGAUGCUUGAGAUCGAGAGGUUUUAUUAUGAGCUAGCUAGCUGUCUAGGUUAAUUAACUGGUUAUUUUUAAGAGUGAUGUUUUCAAUUCAUGUUAUAACUAACAGUCUGAUCUGAUGUAGUGUUGAUUUUUUUUUUUUAAAUGGUAGCUAGCUAAUGGAUGAAGUUAUAGGCUGAUGAAGCUAGAGCUUUCAACUUCCAGUGUUUAAUUUCAGUGUUGAUCGACAUCGACUUGUGUUCUUAUCAAGUUCUUGGUUCCCAGAAUAUAUAUAUCACUUCAGGCAUCAUAACUGGUUUACCAUGAAGUCCCCAAUCUAUAUAUAGCACUGAAAUUAAUCUCAUGUUUUAGUUAGCAAUUCGGUUCUCGUAAUUCGGGAUCAAAGAUAACAUACAUAUAAUCCAGUAAUCUUUUAGUUAAUUAAGUUGAUAUGAGAAGUUACUUCUCUUUGAAUUAGAUAAAUUAGCAUCACCUGCUGCUUGAAACUGUAAUACAAACUUAGAAACAUGUUUGACUAGGUUCUAAUUAGUGUUUUAAUCACAAUAUUUGAGCUUGAUGGGUUAAUAUAUGCCUGUUGCAAAUUCAAAAUAAGAGAAAGGCAGGGACCUAAGAAGCAAGAAUAGUACAGUAGUUCUUUUGGGUUGUGGAGGAUGAUGUGGUUACAGUUGUGUGUUCAAUACUAUCUCUGCCAGUAAAUAAUGACAAUACAGAAGAG